rnacentral:RNase_P_RNA from 1 species
UGGGUUGACUGGGCAGUCGCUGUUUGAUGUUUUUAAUUAAAUAUCGAGCGGAGGAAAGUCCGGACUUUACAGAGCAGAGUGCCAGGUAACGCCUGGGGGGCUAAAGCCCACGGAAAGUGCCGCAGAAAAUAUACCGCCUGGUUUACCAGGUAAGGGUGAAAAGGUGUCGGUAAGAGCGCACCGCGCUGAUGGUAACAUCAGUGGCAGGGUAAACCCCACUCGAAGCAAGGCCAAAUAGGGUUCCGGUAGACAAGCGAUAUUGCUAAGGUAGUAUCGUGGCUCUUGAGACGUGGCUCGCGUUGGAACCGGGUAGGCUGCUUGAGCGUUAUGGUGACGUAACGCCUAGAUGAAUGAUUGCCCACGACAGAAUCCGGCUUACAGGUUAACCCAAAUU